GACGAACGCUGGCGGCGUGCUUAACACAUGCAAGUCGAACGGAAAGGCCCUGCUUUUGUGGGGUGCUCGAGUGGCGAACGGGUGAGUAACACGUGAGUAACCUGCCCUUGACUUUGGGAUAACUUCAGGCAACUGGGGCUAAUACCUGAUAGGAGCUCCUGCUGCAUGGUGGGGGUUGGAAAGUUUCGGCGGUUGGGGAUGGACUCGCGGCUUAUCAGCUUGUUGGUGGGGUAGUGGCUUACCAAGGCUUUGACGGGUAGCCGGCCUGAGAGGGUGACCGGCCACAUUGGGACUGAGAUACGGCCCAGACUCCUACGGGAGGCAGCAGUGGGGAAUAUUGCACAAUGGGCGGAAGCCUGAUGCAGCAACGCCGCGUGCGGGAUGACGGCCUUCGGGUUGUAAACCGCUUUCGCCUGUGACGAAGCGUGAGUGACGGUAAUGGGUAAAGAAGCACCGGCUAACUACGUG
rnacentral:rRNA from 1 species